rnacentral:rRNA from 1 species
CAGUCGACGGAAGGUCUCUUCGGAGAUACUCAAGUGGCGGACGGGUGAGUAACACGUAGGAAUCUGCCCCAGAGUGGGGGACAACCAAGGGAAACUUUGGCUAAUACCCCAUACGGCGUGAGCUGAAAGUUUUUUCGCUCUGGGAGGAGCCUGCGCUUGAUUAGCUAGUUGGUGAGGUAAUAGCUCACCAAGGCGACGAUCAAUAGCUGGUCUGAGAAGAUGACCAGCCACAAUGGGACUGAGAUACGGCCCAUACUCCUACGGGAGGCAGCAGUGGGGAAUUUUGCGCAAUGGGCGAAAGCCUGACGCAGCAAUACCGUGUGUGGGAUGACGCCUCGUGGGGUGUAAACCACUGUCAGAAUGGAAGAAUUAUGACUGUACAUUCAGAGGAAGCACCGGCUAAUUCCGUGCCAGCAGCCGCGGUAAUACGGAAGGUGCAAGCGUUGUCCGGAUUUAUUGGGCGUAAAGAGUUUGUAGGCGGUUUUGUAAGUCUGAAGUGAAAUAAUGGAGCUCAACUCCAUACACGCUUUUGAAACUACAGAACUAGAGAAUGUUAGGGGUGAGUGGAAUUUCCAGUGUAGCGGUGAAAUGCGUAGAUAUUGGAAAGAACACCGGAGGCGAAGGCGGCUCACUGGGACAUUUCUGACGCUGAGAAACGAAAGCUAGGGGAGCGAAAGGGAUUAGAUACCCCUGUAGUCCUAGCCGUAAACGAUGAAUACUAGAUGUCAUGGGAAUCGACCCCUGUGGUAUCGCAGCUAACGCAUUAAGUAUUCCGCCUGGGAAGUAUGCACGCAAGUGUGAAACUCAAAGGAAUUGACGG